UACGUAGGGUGCAAGCGUUGUCCGGAAUUAUUGGGCGUAAAGAGCUCGUAGGCGGUUUGUCGCGUCUGCUGUGAAAACUCGGGGCUUAACUCCGGGCCUGCAGUGGGUACGGGCAGACUAGAGUGCGGUAGGGGAGACUGGAAUUCCUGGUGUAGCGGUGAAAUGCGCAGAUAUCAGGAGGAACACCGGUGGCGAAGGCGGUUCUCUGGGCCUGUACUGACGCUGAGGAGCGAAAGCGUGGGGAGCGAACAGG
rnacentral:rRNA from 1 species